rnacentral:rRNA from 1 species
UGGGGAAUAUUGGACAAUGGGGGGAACCCUGAUCCAGCCAUGCCGCGUGUGUGAAGAAGGCCUUAUGGUUGUAAAGCACUUUAAGCGAGGAGGAGGGUACUGGUAUUAAUACUACCAGGUACUGGACGUUACUCGCAGAAUAAGCACCGGCUAACUCUGUGCCAGCAGCCGCGGUAAUACAGAGGGUGCAAGCGUUAAUCGGAUUUACUGGGCGUAAAGCGCGCGUAGGCGGCUAAUUAAGUCAAAUGUGAAAUCCCCGAGCUUAACUUGGGAAUUGCAUUCGAUACUGGUUAGCUAGAGUGUGGGAGAGGAUGGUAGAAUUCCAGGUGUAGCGGUGAAAUGCGUAGAGAUCUGGAGGAAUACCGAUGGCGAAGGCAGCCAUCUGGCCUAACACUGACGCUGAGGUGCGAAAGCAUGGGGAGCAAACAGG